AUGCUUUACACAUGCAAGUCGAACGGCAGCAUAGAGAGCUUGCUCUCUGAUGGCGAGUGGCGAACGGGUGAGUAAUAUAUCGGAACGUGCCUAGUAAUGGGGAAUAACUAGCUGAAAGGUUAGCUAAUGCCGCAUACGACCUACGGGUGAAAGCAGGGGAUCUUCGGACCUUGCGUUAUUAGAGCGGCCGAUAUCUGAUUAGCUUGUUGGUGGGGUAAUGGCCUACCAAGGCGACGAUCAGUAGCUGGUCUGAGAGGACGAUCAGCCACACUGGAACUGAGACACGGUCCAGACUCCUACGGGAGGCAGCAGUGGGGAAUUUUGGACAAUGGGGGCAACCCUGAUCCAGCCAUUCCGCGUGAGUGAAGAAGGCCUUCGGGUUGUAAAGCUCUUUCGCAAGAGAAGAAAACUUGCUAUCUAAUAAAUAGUAAGUAUGACGGUAUCUUGACAAGAAGCACCGGCUAACUACGUGCCAGCAGCCGCGGUAAUACGUAGGGUGCAAGCGUUAAUCGGAAUUACUGGGCGUAAAGCGUGCGCAGGCAGUUUUAUAAGUCAGAUGUGAAAUCCCCGAGCUCAACUUGGGAACUGCGUUUGAAACUGUAAGACUAGAGUGUGUCAGAGGGGGGUAGAAUUCCAAGUGUAGCAGUGAAAUGCGUAGAGAUUUGGAGGAAUACCAAUGGCGAAGGCAGCCCCCUGGGAUAACACUGA
rnacentral:rRNA from 3 species